rnacentral:rRNA from 1 species
UACGUAGGGGGCAAGCGUUGUCCGGAAUCAUUGGGCGUAAAGAGCGUGUAGGCGGCCUGGUAAGUCCGCUGUGAAAGUCCAGGGCUCAACCCUGGAAUGCCGGUGGAAACUGUCAGGCUCGAGUCCGGAAGAGGCGAGUGGAAUUCCUGGUGUAGCGGUGAAAUGCGCAGAUAUCAGGAGGAACACCGGUGGCGAAGGCGGCUUCCUGGACCGACACUGACGCUGAGGCGCGAAAGCUAGGGGAGCAAACGGG